GUAGGGGGCAAGCGUUAUCCGGAAUUACUGGGUGUAAAGGGUGCGUAGGUGGUAUGGCAAGUCAGAAGUGAAAACCCAGGGCUUAACUCUGGGACUGCUUUUGAAACUGUCAGACUGGAGUGCAGGAGAGGUAAGCGGAAUUCCUAGUGUAGCGGUGAAAUGCGUAGAUAUUAGGAGGAACAUCAGUGGCGAAGGCGGCCUACUGGACGGUAACUGACGUUGAGGCUCGAAAGCGUGGGGAGCAAACAGGAUUAGAUACCCUGGUAGUCCACGCGGUAAACGAUGAAUGCUAGGUGUCGGGUGACAAAGUCAUUCGGUGCCGCCGCAAACGCAUUAAGCAUUCCACCUGGGGAGU
rnacentral:rRNA from 1 species